rnacentral:rRNA from 1 species
UUAAAGUAGUAAGGGCGCAGGGUGGAUGCCUUGGCACUAAGAGCCGAUGAAAGACGUGAUAAGCUGCGAAAAGCUUCGGGGAGGAGCACAUAUCCAAUGAUCCGGAGAUAUCUGAAUGGGGAAACCCGGCAGAGGAAACCUCUGUCAGCGUGCAGUGAAUACAUAGCUGUACGUGGGGAACCCGGGGAACUGAAACAUCUAAGUACCCGGAGGAAGAGAAAGAAAAUUUAUCGAUUUCCAAAGUAGCGGCGAGCGAAAUGGAAAGAGCCCAAACCGUGAUGCGUGCAUCGCGGGGUUCGGACUGCGUUGUGGCAGACGUAAGAUAGGAGAACGGACUGGGAAGUCCGGCCGGAGAGAGUGAAAGCCUCGUAUCCGAAAUCCCAAGUCGCCUAGCAGGAUCCAGAGUAGGACGAGACACGAGAAACCUUGUCUGAACGAGCGGGGACCACCCCGUAAGGCUAAAUACUUCUUAGUGACCGAUAGCGCAUAGUACUGUGAAGGAAAGGUGAAAAGUACCCCGGGAGGGGAGUGAAAGAGAACCUGAAACCCUGUGUCUACAAGCUGUGGGACCUCUUUAUAUGAGGGACUGCGUACUUUUUGUAGAACGGUCCGGCGAGUUGUGCGUACUGGCGAGGUUAAGGACUUAAGGUCUGGAGCCGAAGUGAAAGCAAGCGUUAAUAGCGCGUCAAGUCAGUGAGUGCAGACCCGAAACCGGGUGACCUAUCCAUGUCCAGGUUGAAGCUUCCGUAAGAGGAAGUGGAGGACCGAACCCACAUCCGUUGAAAAGGGUGGGGAUGAGGUGUGGAUAGCGGAGAAAUUCCAAUCGAACCCGGAGAUAGCUGGUUCUCCUCGAAAUAGCUUUAGGGCUAGCCUCAUGAGAGUCUUAUGGAGGUAGAGCACUGAAUUGCCUAGGGGGCGUCAAAGCUUACCAAAGCAUAUCAAACUCCGAAUGCCAUCAAGAUGAUUCAUGGGAGUCAGACCAUACGAGAUAAGUUGGAUGGUCAAAAGGGAAAGAGCCCAGACCUACAGCUAAGGUCCCAAAGUGCGUGUUAAGUGGAAAAGGAUGUGGGGAUUCUAAGACAACUAGGACGUUGGCUUAGAAGCAGCCAUUCAUUGAAAGAGUGCGUAAUAGCUCACUAGUCGAGAGUCCCUGCGCCGAAAAUGUCCGGGGCUGAAACACGACACCGAAGCUUAGGAAUGUGUAAACAUUGGUAGAGGAGCAUUGCUGGCGGGAUGAAGCCAUACCGUAAGGAGUGGUGGACUGCCAGGAAGAGAGAAUGCCGGAAUGAGUAGCGAGAUGAAGGUGAGAAUCCUUCAGGCCGAAUAUCUAAGGUUUCCAGAGUAAAGCUGAUCUGCUCUGGGUAAGUCGGGACCUAAGGCGAGGUCGAAAGACGUAGUCGAUGGAUAACAGGUUGAAAUUCCUGUACCGCAUAUAAACAGAACUGUGGGGACACAGACAGGGAAUGGAAUCCGGGAAUGGAGAUCCCGGUGCAAGCGAGGUAGGAGUGCUGUUGGCAAAUCCGCAGCACGAUCUGAAGACGUGACGCGUACCGAACAUAAGUAGGGAAGUCCAGGCCCCUGGCUGUCAAGAAAAGCCGCUAUCGUUUUAUAUGUGCCCGUACCGCAAACCGACACAGGUGGAUGAGGAGAGAAUCCUAAGGCCGACGGGAGAAGUAUUGUUAAGGAACUCGGCAAAAUGACUCCGUAACUUCGGGAGAAGGAGUGCCAUGAGAGUGGCCGCAGAGAAAUGGCCCAAGCAACUGUUUAGCAAAAACACAGGUCUAUGCAAAACCGCAAGGUGAAGUAUAUGGGCUGACGCCUGCCCGGUGCUGGAAGGUUAAGGGGAGAGGUUAGCGCAAGCGAAGCUUUGAACUUAAGCCCCAGUAAACGGCGGCCGUAACUAUAACGGUCCUAAGGUAGCGAAAUUCCUUGUCGGGUAAGUUCCGACCC